rnacentral:rRNA from 1 species
GACGAACGCUGGCGGCGUGCUUAACACAUGCAAGUCGAACGGUAAGGCCCUUCGGGGUACACGAGUGGCGAACGGGUGAGUAACACGUGGGUGAUCUGCCCUGCACUUCGGGAUAAGCCUGGGAAACUGGGUCUAAUACCGGAUAGGACUCCUGGCUUCAUGGUUGGGGGGGAAAGCUUUUGCGGUGUGGGAUGGGCCCGCGGCCUAUCAGCUUGUUGGUGGGGUAAUGGCCUACCAAGGCGACGACGGGUAGCCGGCCUGAGAGGGUGACCGGUCACACUGGGACUGAGAUACGGCCCAGACUCCUACGAGAGGCAGCAGUGGGGAAUAUUGCACAAUGGGCGCAAGCCUGAUGCAGCGACGCCGCGUGAGGGAUGACGGCCUUCGGGUUGUAAACCUCUUUCAGCUAUGACGAAGCGCAAGUGACGGUAGUAGCAGAAGAAGGACCGGCCAACUACGUGCCAGCAGCCGCAGUAA